rnacentral:rRNA from 1 species
UUUGGUGACGAUAGCGGAAGGGAACCCGUACCCAUCCCGAACACGGCCGUUAAGCCUUCCAGCGCCGAUGGUACUUCGGACCGAAGGGUCGAGUAGGACGUUGCCAAGC